CAAAAUUAAAAGUAAUUUUGGGAAAGAUCGAUAAAAUUUUGUGCUCGAAAUAUAUUUUUGAAACAAAAAUUAAAAACAUAUGGUUAAAAUGCAAAAAAAAGGAAAUUCAGCCACGUGGAACGGCCCAAUCAGCAGCCACGAUGAACCAGAACACCGCAUGGCAAAACAUGCUAACAUCAGUGCCACGCGGGAGGCCACAAGUGCGAUAUGCGUGCCCAGUGAUCCAACGGCCUAGAUUCAAUCUUGCGCGCGUGAACGGCUCAAAUACCUUUCCUCCUUAUGUGCGAUCAGACGGACGAGAUCAAUCGUGAUGAACGGUCCAGAUUCGCUCACGCAAUCAGCCUAAAUAUGCAACGAUCGGAUGGCUCUUCUUACUCUACGUCAACGUGAAUGAACAAUCUAGAUUGACGCGAGAUAAGUAUAUAAACAUCGCGUCACAGGAGAACCCCAACCCUAAUCGCACCUUCCCUCGUUGGAGAAGAAGGACCAGCCACCGGAGAAGGAG
rnacentral:lncRNA from 1 species